rnacentral:lncRNA from 1 species
AUGGAGAGUUGGGGUGUGCCUCCCAGGCCUUAUCUGGCCACCAAACUGUUAUGGAAUGAAAUUACCACAUCUUUUCGAGCAGGAAUGCCUCUAAGAAAACACAGACAACACUUUAAAAAAUAUGGCAGUUGUUUCACAGCAGGAGAAGCAGUGGAUUGGCUUUAUGACCUAUUAAGAAAUAAUAACAGUUUUGGUCCUAAAGUUACAAGACAACAGACUAUCCAACUGUUGAGGAAAUUUCUUAAGAAUCAUGUAAUUGAAGAUAUCAAAGGCAGGUGGGGAUCAGAAAAUGUUGAUGGUACUAACCAGCUCUUCAGAUUUCCUGCAACUUAGCCAUUUAAAACUCUGCCACGAAGACAUCCAGAAUUGAGAAAAAACAACAUAGAGAACUUUUCCAAAGAUAAAGAUAGUAUUUUUAAAUGAUGAAACUUAUCUCAUAGAACUCCUAAAAAGCAUGGAUUACAUUUAUCUCAGGAAAAUUCCGAGAAAAUAAAGCAUGAAAUAAUCAAUGAAGAUCAAGAAAAUGCAGUUGAUAAUAGAAAACUAAGCCAGGAAGAUGUUGAAGAAAUUUGGAGAUAUGUUAUUCUGAUCUACCUGCAAACCAUUUUAGGUGUGCCAUCCCUAGAAGAAGUCAUAAAUCCAAAACAAGUAAUUCCCCAAUAUAUAAUGUACAACAUGGCCAAUACAAGUAAACAUGGAGUAGUUACACUACAAAACAAAUCAGAUGACCUCCCUCACUGGGUAUUAUCUGCCAUGAAGUGCCUAGCAAAUUGGCCAAGAAGUGAUGAUACGAAUAAUCCAACUUAUGUUGGAUUUGAACAAGAUAUAUUCAGCACAAUCACAGAUUAUUUUCUAGAUCUCCUUGAACCUCUCCUUACUUUUGAAUAUUAUGAAUUAUUUGUGAACAUUUUGGUUGUUUGUGGCUAUGUCAUAGUUUCAGAUAGAUCCAGUGGGAUACAUAGAAUCCAAGAUGAUCCACAGUCUUAAAAAUUCCUUCACAAUUUGAAUUCCUUCAAAUCAAUGGAGUGCCUUCUUCUCAGUCUGCUUCAUAGAGAAAAAAGAAGAAUAAGAUUCUACUGAGAGACUACGGAUAAGCAAUCCAGGAUUUCAAGAAAGAUGUGCUAAGAAAAUGCAGCUAGUUAAUUUAAGAAACAGAGGAGUGAGUGCUAAUGACAUAAUGGGAGGAAGCUGUCAUAAUUUAAUAGGGUUAAGUGGUAUGCAUGAUCUGUCCUCUAAUAGCAAACCAAGUUGCUGUUCUUUGGAAGGAAUUGUAGAUGUGUCAGGGAAUUCAAGUAAAGAGGCAUCCAGUGUAAAGAGGCAUCAAUCUUUUCCAAACAUAGAAGGACAAAAUACUAAACUGUUUUUAGAGUCUAAGCCCAAACAGGAAUUCCUGUUGAAUCUUCAUUCAGAGGAAAAUAUUCAAAAGCCAUUCCGUGCUGGUUUUAAGAGAACCACUACUUUGACUGCUCAAGACCAAGAGGAGUUGUGUAAUGGGAAAUGCAAGUCAAAACAGCUUUGUAGGUCUCAGAGUUUGCUUUUAAGAAGUAGUACAAGAAGGAAUAGUUGUAUCAACACACCAGUGGCUGAAAUGAUCAUGAAACCAAAUGUUGGACAAAGCAGCACAAGUGUGCAAACAGCUAUGCAAAGUGAACUCGGAGAGUCUAGUGCUGCAAUCAAUAAAAGACUCUGCAAAAGUUCAAUAGAAUUUUCAGAAAAUUCUUUACUUCCAGCUUCUUCUGUGUUGACUGGUACACGAAGUUUGCUGCAACCUCAUUUAGAGAGGGUUGCCAUCGAUGCGCUACAAUUGUGUCGUUUGUUACUUCCGCCACCAAAUUGUAGAAAGCUUCAACUUUUAAUGCGUAUGAUUUCCCAAAUGAGUCAAAAUGUUGAUAUGUCCAAACUUCAUGAUGCAAUGGGCAUGAAAUCACCGAUGAUACAUACCUUUUCUCGAUGUGUGCUAUGCUGUGCUGAAAAAGUGGAUCUUGAUAAGCUUCUGGCUGGAAGAUUAGUUUCUUUCUUACUGGAUCAUCAUCAGGAAAUUCUUCAAGUACCAACUUAUUUACAGACUGCAGUGGAAAAACAUCUUGAAUACUUAAAAAAGGGACAUAUUGAAAAUCCUGGAGAUGGACUAUUUGUUCCUUUGCCAACUUAUUCAUACUGUAAGCAGAUUAGUGCUCAGGACUUUGAAAAGCAAAAAGUUUCUACCUCUCAAGCUGCAGUUACAGAACUUAUAGAAAAUGUUAUUAAAAACAAGAGUUUACCUCUAAAGGAGAAAAGAAAAAAACUAAAACAGUUUCAGAAGGAAUACCCCUUGAUAUAUCAGAAAAGAUUUCCAACCACGGAGAUUGAAGCAGCACUUUUUGGUGACAAACCUACAAUCAAGCAACCAAUGCUGAUUUUAAGAAAACCAAAGUUUUGUAGUCUAAGAUACUAA